rnacentral:rRNA from 1 species
CUGAUCCAGCCAUGCCGCGUGUGUGAAGAAGGCCUUAUGGUUGUAAAGCACUUUAAGCGAGGAGGAGGCUACUUUAGUUAAUACCUAGAGAUAGUGGACGUUACUCGCAGAAUAAGCACCGGCUAACUCUGUGCCAGCAGCCGCGGUAAUACAGAGGGUGCAAGCGUUAAUCGGAUUUACUGGGCGUAAAGCGCGCGUAGGCGGCUAAUUAAGUCAAAUGUGAAAUCCCCGAGCUUAACUUGGGAAUUGCAUUCGAUACUGGUUAGCUAGAGUGUGGGAGAGGAUGGUAGAAUUCCAGGUGUAGCGGUGAAAUGCGUAGAGAUCUGGAGGAAUACCGAUGGCGAAGGCAGCCAUCUGGCCUAACACUGACGCUGAGGUGCGAAAGCAUGGGGAGCAAACAGGAUUAGAUACCCUGGUAGUCCAUGCCGUAAACGAUGUCUACUAGCCGUUGGGGCCUUUGAGGCUUUAGUGGCGCAGCUAACGCGAUAAGUAGACCGCCUGGGGAGUACGGUCGCAAGACUAAAACUCAAAUGAAUUGACGGGGGCCCGCACAAGCGGUGGAGCAUGUGGUUUAAUUCGAUGCAACGCGAAGAACCUUACCUGGCCUUGACAUAGUAAGAACUUUCCAGAGAUGGAUUGGUGCCUUCGGGAACUUACAUACAGGUGCUGCAUGGCUGUCGUCAGCUCGUGUCGUGAGAUGUUGGGUUAAGUCCCGCAACGAGCGCAACCCUUUUCCUUAUUUGCCAGCGAGUAAUGUCGGGAACUUUAAGGAUACUGCCAGUGACAAACUGGAGGAAGGCGGGGACGACGUCAAGUCAUCAUGGCCCUUACGGCCAGGGCUACACACGUGCUACAAUGGUCGGUACAAAGGGUUGCUACCUAGCGAUAGGAUGCUAAUCUCAAAAAGCCGAUCGUAGUCCGGAUUGGAGUCUGCAACUCGACUCCAUGAAGUCGGAAUCGCUAGUAAUCGCGGAUCAGAAUGCCGCGGUGAAUACGUUCCCGGGCCUUGUACACACCGCCCGUCACACCAUGGGAGUUUGUUGCACCAGAAGUAGCUAGCCU